rnacentral:rRNA from 1 species
UACGAAGGGGGCUAGCGUUGUUCGGAAUUACUGGGCGUAAAGCGCGCGUAGGCGGUGAUCUUUGUCAGAGGUGAAAGCCUGGGCUCAACUCCAGAAUUGCCUUUGAAACGGGAUCGCUUGAGUCCGAGAGAGGAUGGCGGAAUUCCUAGUGUAGAGGUGAAAUUCGUAGAUAUUAGGAAGAACACCGGUGGCGAAGGCGGCCAUCUGGCUCGGUACUGACGCUCAGGCGCGAAGCGAUGGGA